GAUGAAGAACGCAGCGAAAUGCGAUAAGUAAUGUGAAUUACAGAAUUCAGUGAAUCAUCGAAUCUUUGAACGCACCUUGCGCCUUUUGGUAUUCCGAAAGGCACACCUGUUUGAGCGUCAUGAAUACCUCAAUCUCCAUCUUUUCUUCGGAUUGAUGGGUGACUUGGAUGUUGAGCCCUGCUGGUAUGCUAUAUCAGCUGGCUUUAAACUUAUUAGCCUGCUCCGUACUGGAUCGGUUUGACUCGACGUGAUAAUAUUAUCGUUGAGGAUGCAUGUCUCAUGCAGCCGGAAAGUAUCAAAGCAGCUUCUAGCUUGCCUUUAGUGCACUUUUACAUUUUAGACCUCAGAUCAGGUGGGACUACCCGCUGAACUUAAGCAUAUCAAUAAGCGGAGGA
rnacentral:misc_RNA from 1 species